UAAAUUUACACAGAGUCUGUGUGGAUGAUGUCCUCCUCCAGCUACCCAGAGCAGCUGCAAGGCCAGUAAGAGUUUCCAAACGUGGAAGAAAUGGGCAGACAGCAGAUGCUGGGUGGCAUAUGGGUUAUAGCUCAGAGCUGGAUGUUACUGGUUACAAAUGGUUCACUGCUGGCAUACACUGGAAGGGUAAACAUCUCUGUGGAAAUGUGUAAAACUUGUAAAACUGAACAUGGAUAGAUAAUGAAAUCUGCUUUCAGAGUUGCUGGCAUUUCUGUCUACAGAAAAGAUUGUCCUUUCUUCUUAAAAACUACUUGAGAACGCAGUGGAGAAACCUCAGUACAACAUGAGGUGAGAAUUUGCCUCCUUUGAAAUGAGCUGGAUGUGGAAGAGCCAAUUUCAGUAUUCUUUUAUUUAUAGACAUCCUGGUGGCAGUUUUGUUCUUAAGUGCUAUCAGCAGCCAUCAAUGCAUUUCAGAUAGAUCCCAAGCCAGCAGCUCCAGGGUUUUUCCAUUCCUUCCCCUGCGUUUUCCAAGCGUUUUUAAUCCCUGUCAAAGACUGUAUCAACAGUCCUGACAGGUGGAUAAAGCACUAGCAAGAGUAUCAAGAGUUACUGUUUCUGUUGGAAAAAUAAGAAGUAUUUGAUUCAAAACAUUGGUUAUACUGGUUAUAUUUAAACUCCUUUGAAGUCAAUAGUGAGAUUCUACUGAUCCUACUGCAAGAUGAAUUAUUCCAAGGGAUCCAGUACAAACAUUUAGACCUACUUAUCUAGAAGAAGCAGACUCUCCAAACCAGAGACAAAAUACCACAUGUAAUGCACAUAUUUACUAUUUGUGUACUAAGCACAAAGAGAAGGGCAUAGGGCCAGGAGAGAGAUAAGGUAACUUUUAUUUUAUGCCGUGAAAUUGCAUCUGACAGCACGGUGUAUCCAUUUGUGAGCAGUGUAGAUGAGUCUGAACCAUCUGGGGAAGUGAGUAAGAAGGGGUCUGUGCUGUUAGAUGUGGAGCUGAUGGCAGAAGACAUCCCCUGUACUUUCUGCACUGUACAGAAGAGGAAGGAAGGGCAGGUUGCACAAAGGCAGUGCCAGGCUGUCAGGAUUUCCUCUGUGAGAACUUCUGAGUUCUCAGAAUGUACAGAGCAUUGUGUAUUACCCAGAUGUUGCAUCGGUGCGUAAAAGGCACAGGUUCAUCCGUGACAGGAAAGGGUAAUGGUGACUGUAAAACUGGGCAUGCAAAAGAAAUGCUUGAGUUAUGGUUGCUUGUAAAACUUUGCUUACUCUUCCCUCUAGAACUGAAGUACUGCUUUGAUUUCCAGAGACACUUCUUAAAUGUGUGCUGCUGUCCUAGUUUGGGCAGGGCUGUGGCCAGCUCGUUCCCCCAUCCCUGUGCAGAUCAUUCACAGAAUGGUCUGGUCUGGACUUUGCAGUAAUCUCUGAUGUACAGGCAAUCUACCUCCAGUGAUGCAGGGAAGGAGCCACAGCCUCUGUCAGCGGUCGGGGCUGGCUGCCAGCAGGAGUGCAGUGGCUUGCAGCACUGCUGUCUGCAUGUCCCACGGGAACAAGCUCUUUCAGCUGCUGCCAAACUCUUCAAUCACUCUGAAAUUCACCCAUGAAGCAACUCCUCUGUGGAGCACAGCAGCAAAGAGCAAAUUGGCACUGGAGGCCUUUCUCAUAGCGCUUCGCUAAACUGUCUCAGAGAUUUGUAUGUGACACUGGAAGUUUCUCUGAAAGAAUAAUCAAAACUCCUCAAAGUGUUUAAGGAAAAUAUGACAAGAAUUUAAGCCUUGUGUUAGAAAAAUUGUUUGUAUCGUUCCUCAGAGAUUCCUCAGAGAUUAUUCCUCAUUGUUUAUUUAUAAACAAUGUUGUCGUGCAUUAACUUCUUGUGCACCGAUCC